AGUGAACGCUGGCGGCAUGCCUAACACAUGCAAGUCGAACGGCAGCACAGUUAGUGUCUGCUUUUAUCGGUUGGCGGUGGCGUACGGGUGAGGUAGACACCGGACCCUUUUUUUUCGAUGGGGAUAACGAAGGCAGACUUACGCCAACACCGAUCACCACCUACCAGCGAACGAACGGGAUCUUCGGCCCUUUAGGGUUUGAAUGAGACGAUGUCGGAUUAGUUAGUUGGCGGGGUAAAGGCCCACCAUGGUGACGAUCCGUAGUUGGUCUGAGAGGAUGACCGGCCACACGGGAACUGAGACACGGUCCAGAGCCCUACGGGAAGCAGCAGUGAGGAAUUUUGGACAAUGGGCGCAAGCCUGAUCCAGACAUGCCGCAUGGGUGAAGAAGGCCUUCGGGUUGUAAAGCCCUUUUGUUGGGAAAGAAAAACAGCACGAUAAUACCCCACGGUUCUGACGGUACCGAAAGAAUAAGCACCGGCUAACUUCGUG
rnacentral:rRNA from 1 species